GCCUUCAUGGUGUGGUGGUCUGCACACUGGGCGCUUAUUCCAGAGGUCCCUGGUUCGAUUCCCGGUGAAGGCG
rnacentral:tRNA from 1 species